rnacentral:lncRNA from 1 species
GGAGGAUCAGCCCCAGGUGUCUCUUAUAUAUAGGAGAGCUCUGCACGCAUGGCUCUAAAGCGAUUUAAAUUUAUCUUCCAGGUUAAUAUCUGAUAUACGGUGAGCGGACAUCUCCACAAUGAGACCGGCACUGCUGUUAGUGCUGGCCACCCUGGCGGUUUUCUGCCACACGGCUACAGCUUUGGCUUGUCCAGAGAUCUGGAAUCUGGCCACGAAGUUUCUCUAUGGGUCUGUUGAGGAGUACGUGGAUGCCGUUUCUCCCUACGCCACGACACCCGUUAUGAAAGCAGCCGAGCUCCAGUUAAAGCAAUGCGUGCAGGAGUCGGUCACAAAUAAGCAAACUCUUACCCUGUUAGUGUCUCAGAUACUCAGCAAAUGCUAAAGGCACCAUAAUUCUAGGGGCGCCCUGUCCUUAAGGAGCUGGGAGGACAUUAAACAUCAUCUGACGCCUGCCGAUACCCACCUGCUGACAGCGAAGACCUCCUCACCGAAUAUCUUCAUUUGCUUCUUCUUCUCUCUGAUUAGUGACUAAUUACUCUAAAUAAUCUACCAACCUCAUAUGACAUUUUCCUGUUGCUUGCACUUCAUGUUUCAAUAAACUAAAUGCAA